CUCUCCUCCCGAAACCAGUCUCUCCCUCUUAACUCCAUACAGUAAGCAAGGCCCGGUAAGAAGUUGGGUUUCCCUGCCAUCCUUCCUGCCCCAGCCCCUCAUCCUCAACUCACCAUCAACCCUUCCACGAUCCCAAAUUGCUCGUGGAUGACUUUGGCGAGGGGAGCCAAACAGUUGGUGGUGCAGGACGCGUUGCUGAAACAGCCAAGGUGUGCACGGACACUGUGAGCCCUGACAACCUCGCCACGAACCCUCCUAGACCCUCAGCUCCUACAAUAGGAAGCUGGCUGCCAAAGGCCAGGAGAGUCCCUGAAGACAGACACUGCAUUAAAGAAAAAGCUCCUGGAGGACUCCUGAAGCCUGAGGCAGCCUUGGGGCGGCAGUGGCUCAUGGUUUACAUUAGAAAGGUUUAUCAUGAGUAACCAGGUGCUUUGCUUCUGUGAUUCUCGGCCAGUGUAGGUCUGUUUCCUUUGCCAUUGAGCCUGCUCCUCUCAAUGGGGGUUCAAUCAAUGUUUGUGGGGUUUGUUUGUUUUGAGACAGGGUCUUCCUCUGUCGCCCAGGCUGGAGUGCAGUGGUGCAAUCAGAGCUCACCGCAGCCUUGAUCUUCCUGGCUCCGGCCAUCCUCCUGCCUUGGCCUCCCGAGUAGCUGGGAAUACAGGCGCACGCCACCAUGCCCAGCUAAUUUUUAAAUUUUUUU
rnacentral:antisense_RNA from 1 species